rnacentral:rRNA from 1 species
UACGAAGGGGGCUAGCGUUGCUCGGAAUCACUGGGCGUAAAGGGCGCGUAGGCGGCCAUUCAAGUCGGGGGUGAAAGCCCAGGGCUCAACCCUGGAAUUGCCUUCGAUACUGUUUGGCUAGAGACCGGAAGAGGUAAGUGGAACUGCGAGUGUAGAGGUGAAAUUCGUAGAUAUUCGCAAGAACACCAGUGGCGAAGGCGGCUUACUGGUCCGGUUCUGACGCUGAGGCGGCGGAAAGCGUGG